rnacentral:rRNA from 1 species
UACGAAGGGGGCUAGCGUUGCUCGGAAUUACUGGGCGUAAAGGGCGCGUAGGCGGCACUGUUAGUCAGGCGUGAAAUUCCUGGGCUCAACCUGGGGACUGCGCUUGAUACGGCAGAGCUAGAGGAUGGAAGAGGCUCGCGGAAUUCCCAGUGUAGAGGUGAAAUUCGUAGAUAUUGGGAAGAACACCGGUGGCGAAGGCGGCGAGCUGGUCCAUUACUGACGCUGAGGCGCGACAGCGUGGGGAGCAAACAGGAUUAGAUACCCGGGUAGUCC